UCCUGAAUGAGUUCCUUCCGGGAAAGAACUGGGGCGGCGGCCGAUGGCUUCAGUUUCUUGAAUUGAACGGAAAGACCUUCGUCGAGCUCAUCGCCAUCCUGGCUGGCUGCGGCCUACUGAUCGGCGCGUUCNNNGACCGGCGUGAUCUCAAGCCUCGCCAACGAUCUUCUCAAGAUCGCCGGCGGCGACGUGUUCCUCCUGCUGAUCAUGUGUGCGAUUACGAGCCUUAUUCUGGGC
rnacentral:misc_RNA from 1 species